UACGUAGGGGGCAAGCGUUGUCCGGAAUCAUUGGGCGUAAAGAGCGUGUAGGCGGCCCGAUAAGUCCGCCGUGAAAGUCCAGGGCUCAACCCUGGAAUGCCGGUGGAAACUGUCGGGCUGGAGUCCGGAAGAGGCGAGUGGAAUUCCUGGUGUAGCGGUGAAAUGCGCAGAUAUCAGGAGGAACACCAAUGGCGAAGGCAGCUCGCUGGGACGAUACUGACGCUGAGACGCGAAAGCGUGGGGAGCAAACAGG
rnacentral:rRNA from 1 species